UACGUAGGGUGCAAGCGUUGUCCGGAAUUAUUGGGCGUAAAGAGCUUGUAGGCGGUUUGUUGCGUUUGGUGGGAAAUUUCGGGGCUCAACCCCGAACUUGCAGUGGGUACGGGCAGACUAGAGUGUGGUAGGGGAGACUGGAAUUCCUGGUGUAGCGGUGAAAUGCGCAGAUAUCAGGAGGAACACCGAUGGCGAAGGCAGGUCUCUGGGCCACUACUGACGCUGAGAAGCGAAAGCAUGGGGAGCGAACAGG
rnacentral:rRNA from 1 species